AUUGAACGCUGGCGGCAUGCCUUACACAUGCAAGUCGAACGGCAGCACGGGUGCUUGCCCCUGGUGGCGAGUGGCGAACGGGUGAGUAAUACAUCGGAACAUGUCCUGUAGUGGGGGAUAGCCCGGCGUAAGCCGGAUUAAUACCGCAUACGAUCUACGGAUGAAAGCGGGGGACCUUCGGGCCUCGCGCUAUAGGGUUGGCCGAUGGCUGAUUAGCUAGUUGGUGGGGUAAAGGCCUACCAAGGCGACGAUCAGUAGCUGGUCUGAGAGGACGACCAGCCACACUGGGACUGAGACACGGCCCAGACUCCUACGGGAGGCAGCAGUGGGGAAUUUUGGACAAUGGGCGAAAGCCUGAUCCAGCAAUGCCGCGUGUGUGAAGAAGGCCUUCGGGUUGUAAAGCACUUUUGUCCGGAAAGAAAUCCUUGGCCCUAAUACGGUCGGGGGAUGACGGUACCGGAAGAAUAAGCACCGGCUAACUACGUG
rnacentral:rRNA from 1 species